UCUUUACAUUUGAGUCGAGCCUUUACUAU
rnacentral:piRNA from 1 species